GCCAGGCAUGGUGGCGCAUGCCUGUAAUUCCAGCUACUCAGGAGGCUGAGGCAGGAGAAUCGCUUGAACCCAGGAGGCGGAGACUGCAGUGAGCCAAGAUCAUGCCACUGAACUCCAGCCUGGGUGACAGAGUGAGACUCCGUCUCAA
rnacentral:SRP_RNA from 1 species